CUUGCUCAACAGGAUGUAGGCAAGUUGGGGGUUUAUCACAGCAUCUUGGCAGUUGGGAGGGUUUCUGUGGGGGCAGAUGAGAACCCAGAAUAAAAGAAUGCUGGACAGAGGAAAAGGCUGGGCAGCUGAGAGGAAGAAGGAGAGAGCUGGAGAAGCCAGAGGAGCCUGGGACAAGACAACAUGUGAGGAAUGCAGACCAGAGGGGAAGGCAGAGAUUAAGCUGAACUCUAUUACCCUGCUUUUUUGGUAAAUGAGGCAAGUGCAAAUACCUAACUUCUUAACUUUUUGAAUCUGCUUGUUUGGAGCGAUCAACCCAAGCACACAGAUAAUUGUUCAGUUGUCAUGAACAUGACCACAUUAGACAAUAUCUGACUGUUGGUACUGUGGUAUGAUCAACUGGAUAACAAAAUCAGCCCCUGCAUGGCACCUGAAGUACCUUUUUCUUCACCCCCUCCCCCCAAGUAAUUAUGAGAGCUAUUAAGAGUAAUUUGCUUAUUUGAACCUUCAAUUUAGACCUAUCGAUUACUCUGAAAAAAAAUGGCAGCACUAGGGAAUUUUUGGCCGAAUAGGUGAGUUUUCGAUCGAAUUUGAAUCGUACGAAUCAAAGUAAUAGCGCAUUCCAUUAAAUUAAAGUUUUUCCCAAGUCCACCAAUUGACUCCAAAUAGGUUCUAGGAGGUCCCCCAUAGGCUAAAACAACAAUUUGGCAGGUUUUAGAUGGUGAAUGGUCGAAGUCGAAUUUUUAAAUAGACAGUAAAUGAUAGAUUUCGAUAUCCGAAUAUUCAAUUUUUUUUCAAAUUCAAACCCAAUUUGGACUAUUCCCUAGUCGAAGUACACAAAAAACUAUCUUGAAAUUCAAAUUUUUGAAUUCGAAAAUUCACCUUGACCUUUGAUAGAUCUGCCUCUAAGUGAAAUAGACUAAAAGAUAUUUUUUCCUCCUAAGCUCUUUGUAGUAUAACUUCCAGCAGUUUGUACUUUGGCUACUUUUGCCUUACAUUUCCCUGAAUAAAGUAUUCCAAACAUGUGUUUCAUUUCAAAUAUGAAUGACUUUCCAUUCAUUGAACUGGGGAAUCUGGAAUACUUGGGUCAUACGCAGGUCACAAAGUCCAUGAUUGCAUUGAAUGACUUUAUUUGUUAUGCCAAGUACAUAUAAAGAGCUUUACUGGUUACAAAUCUAAUAUGACUAAGACACCUACAAUGGUCACAAAUCAUGGAUACUUUUCAGACACUUGAAAUCCGCAAAUAACAUUUUCCCUUCUUUACAUAUUUCCCCUAUAAAUCUGCUGGAAAGCGUUCCCAUUAGUCUUGGAAACUAAAGCUAAAGCUAAAGGAAUGAGUCGUGGUGAAAGUAAAAAAAUUCUCAUUCUUCAUUCUUUUAUUUGUAAUUCUUUAACUAGUAUUUUUAUUGUCAAAAACACAUCCAGUCACUCCAGCCUUUAUACAUUACAUUUUUGGCUAACUAUAUCAGAAAUAUUUUUUAUUUUGCACAGCCCAAUUUACCCAGUUUGUUUUGUCACACUGAACUGUUCCUUUAAGUGUGUUACAUAUAUACUGAAACAUCAGUUCUGUGCUUUGCUUUCUUACUUGUUAUAAAUAUGGUUUGGAUUUCCUUGCUUCUUCUUUCUCCAUUUAUUGCUUGAACUCUUGCAAUAUAUUGUGCAGAUGGGCUUAAAUCGAGGAGUCUGUAAGAAGUAGUAUCAGGACCCAAAACAACUUCCUGUAAAUGUAGAAAAAUAUUGUCUAUUGUUCAUUUUCUUCAAAACCCAUGCAAUGGGAUCUACCUUGAAAGACUCAUUUGAAAGAAGAAUAAUAUUAGAACAAUUUCUUAUAGGCCAUGUGCACAAAAUUAUAUUUUACCUGCAGAUAUUGCAUAUGAAGUGGUGGGUUCAUACAAGUACAGAAUUAUAUACACAUUCUUAAAAAUGUUUAAUGUCCACAAUUGAUUGUGUAAACUGGUCUCCUAAGUUAUGUAUGCACCAUAGACUCUUCAAAAUAUAAGGGAGUGUACUGUGUUUAAAUUUAAAUAAAGCAAUGUUGGUUUGAACCAUACUUUUAUUCAAGAACGUCAACAUAUUUUUUAUGCACUGAUUCCGUUUUUAGAACUACAAAUGCUUUAUUUUCCUCUGUUAACAAUGUUUUCACAUAUGUUUACCAUAUGACACUGUUCAUUAUUAACAGACUGUGAUAAUGGCAGUGUCUAUUCCAUUAGUAAAUGAUGUUUGCACAUUUUGAACUAGUUUGGUUGUUUUAGGGUGUGAAAAACCCCUUGUGUAGAGUAAAUGUAUAUGAUGCAAUAUAUUUUACAAGGAAACUUGCUUGAUGGA